rnacentral:rRNA from 1 species
GACGAACGCUGGCGGCGUGCCUAAUACAUGCAAGUAGGACGCAGUUGCGAACGGGUGAGUAACGCGUAGGUAACUGCCUAUCAGAGGGGGAUAACUAUUGGAAACGAUAGCUAAUACCGCAUACUAGUAGAUGGACCUGCGUUGUAUUAGCUAGUAGGUCGGGUAAUGGCCUACCUAGGCGACGAUACCUAGCCGACCUGAGAGGGUGGUGGGCAACACUGGGAAUGGAAGACGGCCAAGACUCCUACGGGAGGCAGCAGUAGGGAAUCUUAGGCAAUGGGGGGAACCCUGACCGAGCAACGCCGCGUGAGUGAAGAAGGUUUUCGGAUCGUAAAGCUCUGUUGUUAAGGAAGCGGUACUUAACCAGAAAGGGACGGCUAACUACGUGCCAGCAGCCGCGGUAAUAC